GGAAGGCGGUAGUCAUGGCGGUCUGAAAGAGCUGCAAGAUCUUAACUCUCCUUCUCUCGGCUCAAGUGGGGACAUUUUUAUACACUUCAGAAUAAAGUGGUGGCUUUGCGCCACACCUGGUUCGGUGAUAGGGAUUCUUACCAAAGAUGUGUGAAUGUGAUUGUGCUGCCCAGCAAAAGUAAACGCUUACAACGUCUACGCAUCAAACGGUGAAAGUGUUCAGAAAUGCCGGGCUUGUCGUGGAUACGUGUUGCUGCCUCAACCAUUCUUGUAAUCAGGUCUGCUUCAG